rnacentral:lncRNA from 1 species
UUGAAGUUGGGGAAAAUCCAGGGUAGUGCUUCGUCGUCUGGGUCGAAGAAGCCCUUUGGAAAUGGUCAGAGGAAAAAGGAGGGUGAUACCAGUGUCGUGUAUACCCAAAGAGGACCGAGUAGGGAUCGUUACUACCAACACACUGCUGCGGUAACCAUUCCUGCUGAUAAUCAGCCUGCACAACAGCAACAACCGCAACAACAACGCCAGUCGUUUCAGUAGAGACCGCAGAGGGCUGGGUAUCAGGUGAGAGGAC